UGGUGUCAGCGUGCUUUGCCUGCAGUGA
rnacentral:piRNA from 1 species